rnacentral:tRNA from 1 species
AUAAAGUGGCCGAUUAGAAGGUAUUAGUUUCUUAAAUUAAUCAUGAAUGGGGGUAGUUUAUAA